rnacentral:rRNA from 1 species
UCGUAACAAGGUUUCCCGUAGCAUAAGUUUGGAACAUGAUUCUUCCAUAGGUAACUUAUAGAAGCCUUAGUAUCCCAGCAAUGGGAGGCCACGCGACUAAAAAGAAUGCGGCCGUUUACUAGUUGACUCUGGUCAGCAACACAACCAAACUGUUUGGGAACACCCAAGGAUCUUCAACCCUUUCUGUAGUAAUUACUGUUAGGACCAUAGACAUGGGUGACCCACAGCGAAUACCUCUAGGCAUUUCAAAUGCCAUUAGGGAACGUUCACAGACUAAGUGGUUGUGGGUAGAGUAGUUUAUAUGCUCUAUUUGAGAUAUAGUCGGGCCUGAAGGUAAUUUUUCAGGUUAUUAUACAUCAUUAAAUUGUCCUUAAAAGAUGAUAUAAAUUAAAUACCCGUUCCGUAGGUGAACCUGCGGAAGGAUCAUUACCGAGAACAUGCCCUUUGGGGUAUAUCUCCCACCCUUUGUUUACAAUACCUUUGUUGCUUUGGCGGGCCCGUCUUAUGACCACCGGCAUUAGCUGGUCUGUGCCUGCCAAAGGACCCUAAAACUCUUUUAUUAUGUUGUCCGAGUCUUAUAUAAUAGUUAAAACUUUCAACAACGGAUCUCUUGGUUCUGGCAUCGAUGAAGAACGCAGCGAAAUGCGAUAAGUAAUGUGAAUUGCAGAAUUCAGUGAAUCAUCGAAUCUUUGAACGCACAUUGCACCCUCUGGUAUUCCGGGGGGUAUGCCUGUUCGAGCGUCAUUGCAACCCUCAAGCACUGCUUGGUAUUGGAUGCUACCACAUGGUGCAUCUCAAAAAUAUUGGCAGUGGCAUUCAGCUUCUAGUGUAGUACUUUUUCUCGCUUAGGAGUCUUUGAGUGUCUUACUGCUAGAAUCCUCUAAUUCAUCACAAAGGUUGACCUCGGAUCAGGUAGGGAUACCCGCUGAACUUAAGCAUAUCAAUAAGCGGAGGAAAAGAAACCAACAGGGAUUGCCUUAGUAACGGCGAGUGAAGCGGCAACAGCUCAAAUUUGAAAUCUGGCCUCAUGGCCCGAGUUGUAAUUUGUAGAGGAUGCUUCGAGCAUGGUCCGGUCUAAGUUCCUUGGAACAGGAUGUCGUAGAGGGUGAGAAUCCCGUAUGUGACUGGGUGCCUAAGCUCAUGUGAAGUUCCUUCGACGAGUCGAGUUGUUUGGGAAUGCAGCUCAAAAUGGGUGGUAAAUUUCAUCUAAAGCUAAAUACUGGCCAGAGACCGAUAGCGCACAAGUAGAGUGAUCGAAAGAUGAAAAGCACUUUGGAAAGAGAGUUAAACAGUACGUGAAAUUGUUGAAAGGGAAGCGCUUGCAACCAGACUUGCAUGCAAUUGAUCAUCCAAUGUUCUCACUGGUGCACUCGAUUGUAUUCAGGCCAGCAUUGGUUUUGGUGGUUAGAUAAAGGCCAGGGGAAUGUAGCUUCUCUCGGGAAGUGUUAUAGCCCUUGGUGCAAUGUAGCCUACUGGGACUGAGGACCGCGCUUUGGCUAGGAUGCUGGCGUAAUGGUUGUAAGCGACC